UUUCCCUGCCCACAGCGAGCCGACAGUCUAGAGCGGGGAGCUCGAUACAAAUCCGCAGAACGUCUAGGUGAAUUCUCCAAAUAAGCUCUCUGCUUAGUUACAGUGGUGUCUGUCUCCCCUCCUCUAGACUGUAAGCUCGUUGUGGGCAGGGAAU
rnacentral:pre_miRNA from 1 species